rnacentral:sRNA from 1 species
UGUUAUUUCCUUUCAUAGAUGUUCUCUCCCUGGAUUGUUAGAACUUUUGCCCGGCUUUUGCCGGGCUUUUUCUUUUUCGGC